GAUAACAAUUAAUUUGUAACAGCAUGUUAUUAUUUGAAAUAUUCAUAGCAAUGAAUACGUAUUUCUGUUGAAUUCAAAAUAAUUUAUUGUGAAAAAUCUGAUAAAAUUCAAGCUAUAAAUAAAAACGUAGUACAUAAAGGCGGUCACGGUACUUAAAUUUUUAUUUGCCACGUAAUUUUAAAAAAUGUUACUUUUCAUUUUAAUUUUAGCUGCAUCUAAUAUUGGCGUCCAUUCUCUACGAUGUGUAACACCUGCCAACCAACUUUGUUCUGGAUCAUACAAUCAAAUUACUUGCUCCAGAGAUCCAUAUGAAUCACCACCAAUUCUACCUUGUGAAGGAAUCUACUUACCACAAAAAGCCAUGCCAGUGCCAGUAGCUGUCAUGCCAGAAACAACCGUGUAUUUA